rnacentral:tRNA from 1 species
GAGUAGCUCAGUUGGUAGAGCGAGUGACUGUUAAUCACCAGGUCGGGGGUUCGAGUCCCUCCUCCGGAGCA